AUGAAGCUGUUGGAAACAUGGGGAAGUAUGGAAAGGCAACAUCUAACUGGAAUUACCAUAAUGAAAGAGUGUUUGCAGUCUGUUGUAUGCAAAGUUCCUCUCUUGGAAGGUGCAAAAGUGGAUAUGCAAUUAGUGUCCAUUGCUCAGCGGCGUGCAUCUGAUCUAGCUGAUUCUAUAAAGUCAGUGCUAUCUACCUUUUCACCCUUGGUAUGUUUGUUAACACUGCACUAGCCUUGUUUUUUUAUUUUUUUUGACAAAUAUUAGUUUGUUGGUUUUUGUUAGCAAUUUCAAUUGGAGCCUUGGAGGGAUUCUAACCCAUGACCUCUCUCCCCUCACUUCUCCCUUCACCCUUCCCCAACUAUUGGGCCAACCUUAUAUCUCCCUGCACUAGUCUUGUUAUUGUUUGGUGAUGACUUAAAAUUGAAAUUGAAAUUCCUCCAUAAUCAGGCUGGUAAGACUGCUGAGUUGCUAUCAGAGUUAGCGAGAGUUGUCGCGCAAGAGAAGUUGCUCUUACAGGAAUUGAAUGAUAUCUUCCACAACAUGUCUGUCCUUGAGCUUAAAGAAAGGAGCCUGAUGUGCAGUCUCAUUCAACUGAAGUGUUGAAAAGGAGAAUAUCAAAAGCUGCAAUUACUGUCCGAGAUUACAUGUUAGGUAUUCGAGUAAAUAGUAGAUCAGCAAAAUUAACAAAUACAUAUAAUCAACAUGUAAACAAUAAACUACAAACGAUGUUCAAUGGUAAAGAAGUAUUUGUAUAUAAAUGCUGCUAACAUAGAUAGCAUUAGCAUUUGUUCAUACAACCUCUCAAAUUUUUUAUUUUUAUUUUUAUUUUUUAUGAGCAUGCAGGAUUAGUUUCUGUUUA